CCCUGGGAUGAGAGGCGUGGAUUUUACCCAAUAGGGUUUGAGAAGAACGGGGCGGCCCCCACUCACUGAGCUUGUCUUGGGAAAGCGGAAUGUUUGGAUGGUUAACGUGGAGAAAGAGGCGUGUUUGCGCCUGGUAUUAGGCCUCCGACUUUAAGGGAGGCUUGAGGGUCGGAAAUGAGAAGAAAGCAGGUUAAGGAAACAGAUCUUCAGCAAGGCCCUGGAGGACAGGAGUACUUGUAGUUUGAGAGACCGAGUCGUACUUUUCAUUUCUGCUGUUGAGGAAGCAAAAAUCUGCCCAGCCAUUCAUCAGGUAGAAGAAUGUGAGCUGUCACUGGGGAGGAACACAUUGGAUGCUUCAUCUGUACUGACUUCUCAGGGUGCUAGCCAUCCCAAACAACAAUGAAGCAAGAAACAAACUCUACCUUUGAUAAUACUAGAAGAUCUAUAUAACCUUGAAACUCAGUAAGUGAAGACAUAUAGCAGAUAGAAUGUUAACCUGAAAUGGUUGUGGGGGCACCUGGGUGGCUCAGUUGGUUGAGUGUCUGACUUCAGCUCAGGUCAUGAUCUCACAGCUUAUGAGUUCAAGCCCCCAUCGGGCUCUGUACUGACAGCUCAGAGCCUGGAGCCUGCUUUAGAUUCUGUGUCUCCCUCUCUGCCCCUCCCCCGC